GAUGAACGCUGGCGGCGUGCCUAAUACAUGCAAGUCGAGCGAACAGACGAGGAGCUUGCUCCUCUGACGUUAGCGGCGGACGGGUGAGUAACACGUGGAUAACCUACCUAUAAGACUGGGAUAACUUCGGGAAACCGGAGCUAAUACCGGAUAAUAUAUUGAACCGCAUGGUUCAAUAGUGAAAGACGGUUUUGCUGUCACUUAUAGAUGGAUCCGCGCCGCAUUAGCUAGUUGGUAAGGUAACGGCUUACCAAGGCAACGAUGCGUAGCCGACCUGAGAGGGUGAUCGGCCACACUGGAACUGAGACACGGUCCAGACUCCUACGGGAGGCAGCAGUAGGGAAUCUUCCGCAAUGAGCGAAAGCUUGACGGAGCAACGCCGCGUGAGUGAUGAAGGUCUUCGGAUCGUAAAACUCUGUUAUUAGGGAAGAACAAAUGUGUAAGUAACUAUGCACGUCUUGACGGCACCUAAUCAGAAAGCCACGGCUAACUACGUG
rnacentral:rRNA from 1 species